GACGAACCGUGCGAACGUUUAUUCGGAAUCACUGGGCUUAAAGCGCGUGUAGGCGGCCCCGGCACGUCCGUCGCUGAAAUCCCCCCGGCUCAACCGGGGGAAGUGGCGUGGAUACGACCGGGCUGGAGGGGGGGUAGGGGGGAGCCGGAACUUCCGGUGGAGCGGUGAAAUGCGUUGAGAUCGGAAGGAACGCCCGUGGCGAAAAGCGAGCCCCCUGGACGUCUACUGAGCUGAGACGCGAAAGCCAGGGGAGCGAACGGG
rnacentral:rRNA from 1 species